rnacentral:hammerhead_ribozyme from 1 species
GCACUGCUGAAGAGUCCAAAAAAAUAGGACGAAACAGCCGUCCAGUGC